rfam:Candidatus Doudnabacteria bacterium RIFCSPHIGHO2_01_52_17 rifcsphigho2_01_sub10_scaffold_6149, whole genome shotgun sequence.
GCCCGAGUGGCGGAACUGGUAUACGCAGAGGACUUAAAAUCCUCGCCUCGUAAAAGGGGUUGUGGGUUCAAAUCCCACCUCGGGCA